ensembl:miRNA
CGUGUGUGUGUGUGUGUGUGUGUGUGUGCCCGGCCCACGAGCACCUCCCCACUCACCCCCCGCCGCUCACG